UACGCAGGGGGCUAGCGUUGUUCGGAAUUACUGGGCGUAAAGCGCACGUAGGCGGGUUGUUAAGUCAGGGGUGAAAUCCUGGAGCUCAACUCCAGAACUGCCUUUGAUACUGGCAACCUAGAGACUGGAAGAGGUUAGUGGAAUUCCCAGUGUAGAGGUGAAAUUCGUAGAUAUUGGGAAGAACACCAGUGGCGAAGGCGGCUAACUGGUCCAGCACUGACGCUGAGGUGCGAAAGCGUGGGGAGCAAACAGG
rnacentral:rRNA from 1 species